UGGCAACUGUGAUGAUUCCCAUGACUCUGCAAUGCGCAUUGCUGCGAGAUGGAGACACCAGUCCCUCUAAACUGACGCUGCCA
rnacentral:snoRNA from 1 species